CGCCCAACAGCUAGCCCCUCCCACCAAAAACAACAAAACCCCAUCAAUAACCCCCAAUACCCUUAACCCCUAUAAACAAAUCAUUUUUCCCCCUUAGUACAGGCGAUAGAAAAG
rnacentral:rRNA from 1 species